AACACCCGUUCCGGUGGCCUAGUGGUUAGAGCUUCCGCUUCUGAUGCGAGAGGACGUGGUUUCGAACCCUGGUUGUGUCA